rnacentral:misc_RNA from 1 species
AGAAGAAGAAGAAGAAAAAUAAGGAUGGUGAAGAGAUCAUCAACAAGAUGGUUUUAAAAAUCCUCAAUGAGGAACAGCCAAGUAAGAGAAUACCAGAUACGCAUGCUCAAGAAAUUGACAAAAUUGAAGAUUCACACAAGGCUACUCUGCCUUUGCAUGACUCCUGUGAGAAAACAGAUGCUGCCACAGUCUUGCAAGAAGCGAAGAAAUCACAUUGGAUAAAUGAUAAAGACGUUCCACGUCGACCAAAAUUAACAAGGAAAAAGAAGAAAAUAAAUCGGUGUGCACUGAAGAAUGAAGAACUCGAGGAGUGCAGCUCAGAAGAUUCUAGCCCUGUUUCUGUUCUUGAUUUUGAUCGAUUCAUGGUUGAUCCUGAAGUUCCUUUAUCAGAGGAAGAUAAAAAGUCCAUUUCAAGAAGGAAACUAUCAUCAACGCUUCAUGACUACGAUGACUUAUCUGAGCAAAAUGAAGAUAAUAAUUUCAUCGGAGAAGAUCAUCCAAAUUCAAAGAGAAAGGAAGAAGCAUGUGGAGGAUUGAGGAAGAAAAUUAGGAAUGCUCAGCAUUUCUUGAACAUGUGGAGUGAAAUUUGCAAGCUGGCCGAAGCUCAACUGUUGGAAUCAAAUUCUACUUACGAAAAGAUUUGGAAAUCCAAAGAUGUUGAAGACAUUGGUGCAGAUUUAGGGAUGCAAAUUUUGGAUCAGUUGUUAGAAGAACUCGUAGAUCAACUUUGCUUGCCAGGAAAAAAUUUGAACUUGCAAGAUGAUAACUUUUGUAAAUUCUAGCAUUAUAAAAAAUUCUGAAUCAUUUUACUUUUUCUUUUUUUACUGCCCUAUAAGAAGUAGCACUAGCACUGUAGCUCAUAACAUUAACACUGUAUAAUUUUAAUUUGAAAUCUCAUGCAG